CAGCCACGGGAAUACGGAGGAUCCAAGCGUUAUCCGGAAUCAUUGGGUUUAAAGGGUCCGUAGGCGGUCUUGUAAGUCAGUGGUGAAAGCCCAUCGCUCAACGGUGGAACGGCCAUUGAUACUGCAGGACUUGAAUUAUUGGGAAGUAACUAGAAUAUGUAGUGUAGCGGUGAAAUGCUUAGAGAUUACAUGGAAUACCAAUUGCGAAGGCAGGUUACUACCAAUUGAUUGACGCUGAUGGACGAAAGCGUGGGUAGCGAACAGGAUUAGAUACCCCAGUAGUCCCUGUCUCUUAUACACU
rnacentral:rRNA from 1 species